AUUGAACGCUGGCGGCAGGCUUAACACAUGCAAGUCGAGCGGGGGAAGGUAGCUUGCUACCGGACCUAGCGGCGGACGGGUGAGUAAUGCUUAGGAAUCUGCCUAUUAGUGGGGGACAACAUCUCGAAAGGGAUGCUAAUACCGCAUACGUCCUACGGGAGAAAGCAGGGGAUCUUCGGACCUUGCGCUAAUAGAUGAGCCUAAGUCGGAUUAGCUAGUUGGUGGGGUAAAGGCCUACCAAGGCGACGAUCUGUAGCGGGUCUGAGAGGAUGAUCCGCCACACUGGGACUGCGACACGGCCCAGACUCCUACGGGAGGCAGCAGUGGGGAAUAUUGGACAAUGGGGGGAACCCUGAUCAGCCAUGCCGCGUGUGUGAAGAAGGCCUUAUGGUUGUAAAGCACUUUAAGCGAGGAGGAGGCUACUUUAGUUAAUACCUAGAGAUAGUGGACGUUACUCGCAGAAUAAGCACCGGCUAACUCUGUGCCAGCAGCCGCCGUAA
rnacentral:rRNA from 1 species